rnacentral:rRNA from 1 species
GUGGGGAAUUUUGCGCAAUGGGGGAAACCCUGACGCAGCAACGCCGCGUGAGUGAUGAAGGCCCUUGGGUCGUAAAGCUCUGACAGAGGGAAAGAAAUGCAGGGGAGCUAAUAUCUCCCUUGCUUGACGGUACCCUCAAAGGAAGCACCGGCUAACUCCGUGCCAGCAGCCGCGGUAAUACGGGGGGUGCAAGCGUUGUUCGGAUUUAUUGGGCGUAAAGCGCGUGUAGGCGGUUUUAUAAGUCUGAUGUGAAAGCCCUGGGCUCAACCCGGGAAGUGCAUUGGAUACUGUAAGACUUGAAUACGGGAGAGGGCAGUGGAAUUCCUAGUGUAGGAGUGAAAUCCGUAGAUAUUAGGAGGAACACCGGUGGCGAAGGCGGCUGCCUGGACCGAUAUUGACGCUGAGACGCGAAAGCGUGGGUAGCAAACAGGAUUAGAUACCCCUGUAGUCC